GCAAGGCUGCAGAGAAACUGUAGCCAUCACCAAACAACAAAUCAAAGGGAAGUGUCUCAGGAGAGAUUUCUAAUUAUCAUACAUUUGUCCUUGCAGCCAAACCAGGAUGCAGUGGAAAUGGUGCCUUUGGCACUAGCAUCUUAGGUCACAAAAUCAGCUGAUCUGAAGGAGGAGAGAGAGAUGAUGGGAGAUGAAGGGUAUGGGAGUGUAUGCUACGGCUACCUGCUGUCAAAGUUCUCCAGGAAUCAGCUGGCUGGAGGAAUUUUGGAAGGGGUGAGGCACACACUUUCUUCUAUGUUCCUGAAACCACAACAUUGUUAGGACUCAUCUGUUCAUGAGACCAGACCAAUAGAAAAUGAGCACUUCGUGGAUAAAAAAUACAGAUGGAAACUUAGUGGUAUUCCAGAGCUGAGACUGAGACUGAAUGCUAAUAGGGGACACAAUUAGGAAUUGAAAAUAGUGCUGCUCCUCAAAGAGAUAAUUCGGUGUACAGCAACAACAGUAUAUUUAUGUUUACAUAUUGCCAGAAGGACUUCAUACCAGUGCCCAA